rnacentral:lncRNA from 1 species
UCUCCUGCCCUGAACACUUCCUAUUGCCGAACAGCAGUUUAAGUGCCCUACAAGUUGGAUACUAUUAACACCUCCACUUUACAGAGCAAGAGUUGAGUAUUAAAGAGGUUAAAUUCCGGGGCUGGGGAUUUAGCUCAGUGGUAGAGCACUUGCCUAGGAAGCGCAAGGCCCUGGGUUCGGUCCCCAGCUCCGAAAUUAAAAGAACCAAAAAAAAAAAAAAAAAAAAAAAAAGAGGUUAAAUUCCUGUUCAAGACUGGCAGAGCCAGAAUUUGUUCCCUAACCCAGACAUAGAUGCUCCUGCCCCAGUCUUCCCAGUGAUCAGACUGUGGGCAUAGACCACAGUUCCCAGUUACUAACUUUAAAAAAUAAGUAGGUGGAAAGAGAGAUGUUUCCAGUGAGAGUAUUUGCAGUCUUUGUAGAGGACCAGAGUUUGGUUCCCUGAAUCCACACUGGGCAUGGUUCACAACUACCUGUACCUCUUUCUCCAAGGGAGUCUCGUACGUUCUUCUGCCCCCUCCCCCCACAUAAAGUAAAAUAAGAUUUUAAAAUAAAGGUAAUGUUUUUGUCACAAGCAGAAAAUACAAAAAAGAAUACAGUUAAAAGUGAUAGCUAAUCAUUCGGUGGCUGCACAGAAUGAAGUCAAAACUAGUCAGGUAUCUAUCACAGCACUCACCUCUGCCAGACCCACGGACUCUUUCUUCUCCUAGAACAUUUACAGAGGAGCCCAUAAAAAUUCAAAAGAAUACCUAGGAGUCAGAGCCUCUUGGAGUUUGAAGCUUUAUUUUAUGCUUUGCUAUAAAAUUCAAAGAAGAAUAACUUGGGCUGGGGAGGAAGGUCAGUCAGUCAGGGCUUGCCUUGCAAGCACAGGACCCUGAGUUUAAUCGCUAGAACCCAUGCAGAAAUGCCAGGCAGGGUAGCGUGCUCUUGUAGCCUGAGCCCUGGGGAGGCUGAAACAAGAGGACCCUGGAGUUCACUUAUCAGUCGGUCUAAACUAACUGUUCAACUCCAGAAAAAUGAGAGAUUCUGUUUCAAAGGUGGAUGGUGUUCCUUAAAAAAACUGUCCACUGGCUGAUUGGUGACACACCACACACACACACACACACACACACACACACACACACACACACACACACACACACACAUACACACACACACUUUUUUUUUUAAGUAACCCAACAGCAUUGUAGUAUUUCUGUAGUUGACUGGGAGCAGAGACUUCACUGUUCUUCUGAGUGCACCGGGGCACGUAAGAAUGCUGCUUUGCACUUUCCCCCUCCCAAGUGCUAAGAUCAUAGGUAUGCUUUACCAUGUCCAGUUUACACCAUGCUGGGGAUCACGAGGCUUUGGGCAUUGUCUGAACCACACCCACAGCCCCGCAGCAGCACUUCUGUAAGAGUCAGUGCAAAUCAGGUUUGCUAGUACAGGCAAAAAUCCUAUCCACUCCGGAGGCUGGGAUAGCAGGAGCACAAAUUCAAGGCUGGCAUUUAGUGAUGCCCUGUAGCAUUUAGUGAUGCCCUGUAGCACUUAGUGAUGCCCUGGCUCAAAAGGUAAUGAAGCUGGAGAUAUUACUCAGUGCAUUUAUGGCCUUUGCUUGGCAAGACCUUAGGUGAGGCUUGAUCCUAACAUGUACACCCAUGUUAGUCAAAGUUGUGACAGAGCCUGUCACAAACAUUUCCAUCUUACCAGAAGGAUACUUGAACAUAACCCUAGUAUGGCUUCGAGGCAGUGACUAACUGUAUUACUAAGACAGUGAUCAAAGAUAAGAUGGUUAAGUCAUCCAAGCCCCGUUUUUCUGACUUAAAGGUUCAUCAGAGCCAGUCGUGGUGGCUCACACCUGCAAGCAGCACUCCAGACACAGAGGCAGGAGGAGAUUUAAGCCCAGCAUAUUCUACAUAACUAGGGCUAUACAAUGAGACCCUGGUUUGUUUGUUUAUUUGUUUGAACACACACACACUCACACUCACACACACACACACACACACACACACACACACACACACACACACACACACACACACACACUAUACCCAGACUUCCAAAUGUUGUUGGUCUUCUGUUGGGCAAUGAGUAAAAUUUUUUAGUUUUUUACUUUAGCUUUGGUUUAUGGAUUUGUUUUUUAACCUCAAAAUCAAAACAGGAGUGUCUUAGCCUCCCUAGUGUUGGAGUAACUGGCCUACAGGGCCACACCCAGCAUGUAUUUGUUACUUUGUUUCUUAUAUUUCUGCUAGGGCCAAGGUUGUAGUUUAUUAGCAGAACCUAGUGCGUGAGUCGGAUCUCUACCACUGAAAAAAAAAAGUGAACAAAAACUUCCCCUGAUAGAAAUAGCAUGGUCUAGAAAGAAAAACUCAGUAAUACUAGCAGGUAUGGUGAGCCACGGCUACAGCAGUCUCAGUACUGGAGAGGGUAAAGCAGGAGAAUGGCUAUGAGUUCAAGGCCUACGGCAAGCUUAAGACCAGCCUGGGCUAUGGAAUAAGAUGAUCUCACUAAAUAAAAUAAAAUAAAACUCCAAAACAAAACAGAAAAUCAGUGAAAUCACCACUCUACAAUUGCUAUUUCUGAAAUUCUGACAAAUUCCCUCCUAGCCAUAAAAACAAACAAACAAACAAACAAGCAAAACCAAAUGCAAUGUAAGCUCUUGGAAGGUAAAGGGAAGAGGACCAGAAGUUCAAAGCCAGGUUGGCCACAUAACAUAUUUGAAGCUAACCUAGAUUACAUGAGACCUUGUUUCAAAGGGGGCAAAAAAAA